rnacentral:lncRNA from 1 species
GGAGGUCGGCCUAUUCAAUGGAUUCUAGAGAAAAAAAUGAGGGGUGUCGCGUGGUAUGGCUAUAUAGGUCAUGGUGAGGAGAACCGGGUGCAUCGCUUGCACAAGGUUUCAAGUGGCGCUAUGUUCAAAUAUCGGAAACAAGAGUUAAAUUUGAAAAUAAUUGGUGAAAACGGGGGUCGGCCUAUUGAAUGGAUUCUACAAAAAAAAAGUAAUGAGGGUGUCCCGGUAUGGCUAUAUAGGUCUUGUAGAGGAGAAACAGGCGUAUCGUUUGCGCAAGGUUAGGUUUCUUGGCACUAUUUCAAAAAAUCUGAAACUGGAGUUCGAAAUUUGAUAAUAAUUGAGGAAAAACAGGAGGUCGGCCUAAUUUUUGGAUUCUAGAGAUAAAUAAUGAGGGAUGUCACGGGGGUAUGGCUAUAUAGGUCUUGUAGAUGAGAAACAGGCGCAUCGUUUGCGCAAGCUUAAGGUUUCUUUGGCACUAUAUUUAAAAAAUCUGAAACUGGAGUUCGAGAUUUGAAAAUAAUUAGGGAAAAACAGGAGGUCGGCCUAUUCAAUGGAUUCUAGAGAAAAAAAACGAGGGGUGUCGAGGGUAUGGCUAUAUAGGUCAUGGUGAGGAGAACCAGGUGCAUCGCUUGCACAAGGUUACAAGUGGCGCUAUGUUCAAAUAUCGGAAACAAGAGUUCAAAAUUUGAAAAUAAUUGGUGAAAAACAGGGGGGUCGGCCUAUUGAAUGGAUU